UACAGAGGAGCCAAGCGUUGUCCGGAUUGACUGGGCGUAAAGCGCACGCAGGCGGUCGCGCGCGUGGGGUGUGAAAUCUGGCCGCUUAACGGCCAGGCGCCAUCCCAUACGGCGCGACUGGAGUGAUGCAGAGGUCGGUGGAAUUGCCGGUGUAGUGGUGAAAUGCGUAGAGAUCGGCAGGAACACCCAGGGGGGAAACCAGCCGACUGGGCAUUGACUGACGCUGAGGUGCGAGAGCGUGGGGAGCGAACCGG
rnacentral:rRNA from 1 species